AACGCAUAUGGCACCCGAGACCUAGGUCGAGGGUAUGUCUGCCUCAGAGUCGACGUUUAAACAUCUACCCUAUCCCCUCAUCGGGGCAGGGGUUGGAACUGGCGUUCCCACCGCAUGAUUACGGUGGGUUGGCCGAAGGAUAGAGACGGAGGACCGGCGGUGCGAAAGCAUCCCGCCGGGGAAACCACGAUUUGGUGGGAGGGAAGGCCCGUCCAUGUGACACGGCCGUAUCCGCAUCUCUUUGUCGUGCGAGUACCCGGGAUAAAAAAUCCUCUCGCUGUAAUCAAAAAAAUUAUAAUUUCGACCUGAGAUCAGGCAAGAUCACCCGCUGAACUUAA
rnacentral:misc_RNA from 1 species